CAGCCGUAAACUAUGCGCGUUAGGUGUAUCGGUGACCACGAGUUACCGAGGUGCCGAAGGGAAACCGUGAAACGUGCCGCCGGGGAAGUACGGUCGCAAGGCUGAAACUUAAAGGAAUUGGCGGGGGAGCACCACAACAGGUGGAGCCUGCGGUUUAAUUGGACUCAACGCCGGGAAGCUCACCGGAUAGGACAGCAGAAUGAUUGCCGGGCUGAAGACCCUGCAUGACUAGCUGAGAGGAGGUGCAUGGCGUCAGUGACU
rnacentral:rRNA from 1 species